rnacentral:rRNA from 1 species
CCUACGGGAGGCAGCAGUGGGGGAUAUUGCACAAUGGGGGAAACCCUGAUGCAGCGACGCCGCGUGUGGGAAGACGGUCCUCUGGAUUGUAAACCACUGUUCCCAGGGACGAAGAUGACGGUACCUGGGGAGGACGCUCCGGCUAACUACGUGACAGCAGCCGCGGUACUACGUAGGGAGCGAGCGUUGUCCGGAAUUACUGGGUGUAAAGGGAGCGUAGGCGGGACUGCAAGUUGGGUGUCAAAUCUACCGGCUCAACCGGUAGCCGCACUCAAAACUGCAGUUCUUGAGUGAAGUAGAGGCAGGCGGAAUGCCUAGGGUAGCGUUGAAAUGCGUAGAUAUUAGGAAGAACACCAGUGGCGAAGGCAGCCUGCUGGGCUUUUACUGACGCUGAGGCUCGAAAGUGUGGGUAGCAAACAGGAUUAGAUACCCGUGUAGUC